CCAGCAGCCGCGGUAAUUCCAGCUCCAAUAGCGUAUAUUAAAAUUGUUGCAGUUAAAAAGCUCGUAGUUGAAUUUCUGCUAAAAAUAACCGGUCUGCUUUUAAUAAAGGUGGUAUCUUGGUGUGUUUUUAGCAAUAAUGUCCUUUGAAAUGUUUUUUACUUCAUUGUAAUAAAUUAUAUUUAGGAUUUUUACUUUGAGAAAAUUAGAGUGUUUCUAGCAGGCUAAUGCUUUGAAUACUGCAGCAUGAAAAAA
rnacentral:rRNA from 1 species